UUUCCGUAGGUGAACCUGCGGAAGGAUCAUUACAGAGUUCAUGCCCUCACGGGUAGAUCUCCCAUCCUUGAAUAUUUAUACCUUAGUUGCUUUGGCAGGCCGUGGAAACACCAUGGGCUCCGGCUUAUGCGUGCCUGCCAGAGGAAACAAACUCUGCUUUUAGUGAUGUCUGAGUACUAUAUAAUAGUUAAAACUUUCAACAACGGAUCUCUUGGUUCUG
rnacentral:misc_RNA from 1 species